rnacentral:rRNA from 1 species
UACGGAGAGUGCGAGCGUUAAUCGGAAUUACUGGGCGUAAAGCGUACGCAGGCGGUUUGUUAAACGAGAUGUGAAAGCCCCGGGCUCAACCUGGGAACUGCAUUUCGAACUGGCAAACUAGAGUGUGAUAGAGGGUGGUAGAAUUUCAGGUGUAGCGGUGAAAUACGUAGAGAUCUGAAGGAAUACCGAUGGCGAAGGCAGCCACCUGGGUCAACACUGACGCUCAUGUACGAAAGCGUGGGGAGCAAACGGG